rnacentral:rRNA from 1 species
GACGAACGCUGGCGGCGUGCUUAACACAUGCAAGCUGAACGGGCAUACAUGGAAGCUUGCUGAAGUGUAUGUUAGUAGCGGACGGGUGAGUAAUGCAUGAGAAGCUGCCAUUGGGAGGGGGACAACAGUUGGAAACGGCUGCUAAUACCCCGUAUGCCGGAAGGUAAAAGGGAGCGAUCCGCCUGAUGAGGUGCUCAUGUCCUAUCAGCUGGUUGGUGGGGUAACGGCCUACCAAGGCGACGACGGGUAGCCGGCCUGAGAGGGUGAACGGCCACACUGGAACUGAGAUACGGUCCAGACUCCUACGGGAGGCAGCAGUGGGGAAUAUUGGGCAAUGGGGGCAACCCUGACCCAGCGACGCCGCGUGAGGGAAGACGGCCUCGGUUGUAACUCUUUGUUACGGGAAGAAGGAAGUGACGGUACUGUACGAAUAAGUCCCGGCUAACUAACGUG